rnacentral:rRNA from 1 species
AUGGCGCAGGUUAACGCGGCCGCUGCGGUUGAUCACGGCGAAGGCCUCCGGGUAGCCGAGACGUCGUCGAGGUGCGUGACGGAGGGCGCGACGCACGAUUUCGUGGUGACCAACUACCCGCUGCUCGACGGCAUGGGCUUCGGGAGGUACAUUAGGUCGAGCACGUUCACCGUCGGCGGCUACGAUUGGAACAUCAGGUUCUACCCGGACGGAGGCAAGGAGGACGCUGCCGGCAACGCGGGGGCCUACUUGUGUUGUCUUUGCCAGCUGGCCAAGUACGAGGUGAGGGCAAUGUUCACAUUAACCAUGCUGGACGAUCAAGGCCAUGUACAAGAGACCAGGCAGGUAGGGAGUCACGUCUUCUCUCCAGAAUCCUCCACUGGCUUUGGCUUUAACAAAUUCGUCGAGAAAUCGAAGCUGAGAUCGUCGUCUCACCUCUUGACGCUGAGGUGCGUCGUCGCCGUGAUCAAAGAACCGCCCGCGGAGUGCAGGACGAGCCUUGCCGCGGCCCCUCCGACGGAGCUUCCCGGCCAGCUCGAGCGCACCCUCAAGGACGGGAUAGGCGCGGACGUCACCAUCCUCGUGGGAGGCCGGCGGUUCAGGGCGCACAGGUUCAUGCUGGCCAUGCGGGCGCCGCUUCUCGACGCUCAGAUCUUUGGUCCGACGAUGGAGGUCGCCGACAUGGAGCCGGACAUCUUCCAGAUCCUUCUUCACUACGUCUACACGGACUCGUUGCCGCCGUGCGACGGCCAAGGUUAUAGCACCGCCGCAGUGGAGCACUUGCUGGCCGCAGCUGAUCGGUACGGGCUAGGCAGGCUGAAGGCGAUGUGCCAAGGAGAGUUGUGCGGGCGCAUUGAUGCUAAUACCGUCAUGGCCACAUUGGCACUGGCGGAUCAGUAUAUAUGUGAGCGGCUCAAGGAUGCCUGCCUCGAGUUUCUGUCGUCAGAGGAAUCAAUGAUUGCAGUCAUCGCGACCGACAGGUUCAAACACCUCAUCAAAAGUUUCCCCAUGCUUGAUUUGGAAAAGAGCCCCGAGGACCUCGCCAGGAAGUAA